UCUCAAUCAUUUUAAUUUUAUUAUCUAGUUUUUAAAAUUUUAAUUUUGCUAUCUAUUUUUUUAAUUUGUCUAAUUUGAAUUAGUCAACAAUACUCUAAUUUUAAAAUUUAAAUACAUUAUUUAUUUUUAUAUGUUUAAUUAGCAUAUUUUAUACAAUUUUCGUAAAUUUAAAUUAAAUUAUUUUAAAUUUUGAAGUCAAAUUACCACUGACCGGCUGACAUCAAACAAAUUGAAGGGUUAUAUAAUAAAAUCAAAAUAUCGAAAGGUUAGGUGGUUAAACUAAAAUAGUUCGUAGUUCAUAUAAGUUCUAUAUAUUUUUAUUUUAAUAAUUUUUUAUCUUUAUUAUUGUUGUUGUUGAGGAGAAGUGUCGGUGUUGGCAAGUAGAGUAGCAUUUUUCCAUCAUUAAGUUGGGCCCCCUAAAAUUCAAAAUUUUGUGAGCAUUUUGUCUAUGAAUUUUAAGAAUAUUUUUUGUUCCGUUUCCUAUCAAUUUGAGAUUUUAGAACAGUUGGUUGAUGUACAGAGAUCCUGAAAAAUAGUAUUCAAGCUGAUCACUUGUUUCAUUCUCCUGAAUUGUUUUGUAAGUGCUUGUUUGGUGGUUGGUACUCGAGACCCAAGUUCUAAUCCUAAUUGAGUCAUAUUUUUAGCUAAGUUUAUUUCUAAAUGAUAUAAACGAAGCGAGUAUCAUGUUACCUUUCUCUCAAUAUAUAUAUAUAUAUAUGGUAAAUAAAAAAAGAAAAGCAUAUAGGAGAUCUUUCAAUU
rnacentral:lncRNA from 1 species